AUUGAACGCUGGCGGCAGGCCUAAUACAUGCAAGUCGCACGAGUGGCAGACGGGUGUGUAAUGUCUGGGAAAAUGCCUUAUGGCGGGGGAUAACUACUGGAAACGGUAGCUAAUACCGCAAUCCUUCGGAUCUGCCCAGUUGGGAUUAGCUAGUCGGUGGGGUCACGGCUCACCUAGGCGAUGAUCCCUAGCUGGUCUGAGAGGAUGACAAGCCACACUGGAACGGAGAAACGGUCCAGACUCCUACGGGAAGCAGCAGGGGGGAAGAUUGCACAAUGUGCGCAAGCCUGAUGCAGCCAUGCCGCGUGUAUUAAGAAGGCCUUCGGGUUGUAAAGUACUUUCAGCGGGGAGGCGUUACCCGCAGAAGAAGCACCGGCUAACUCCGUGCCAGCAGCCGCGGUAAUUC
rnacentral:rRNA from 1 species